CUGUUCAGAAGGAAACUUGAGAACUUGUCCGUCUCUGAUUAUUAUGGCCUGAAGAGUCCGGGUCUGACGUGCUAUCUGAACAGUGUGCUGCAGGUUCUGUUCAUGACUGAAGACUUUAGAGAGGCCGUGAAAAGAUCUUCAAAGGAGAGCUGAAUCAUAAAACCAUGUGCCGUGAGUGCAGCAAGACAAACAAUUUCAAGAGCUUCUUCUGGGUUCUUCCUCUUUCAAUGGACAAUUCAAGCCGUGAAAACUAC